GAUCCUGGCUCAGAACGAACGCUGGCGGCGCGUUUAAGCAUGCAAGUCGAGCGGCAAGGGCCUUCGGGCCCCUAGAGCGGCGGACGGGUGAGUAACACGUGGACAAUCUGCCCCCGGCCCGGGAUAGCCCAGGGAAACCUGGAUUAAUACCGGAUGAGACGGGACCCGCGAUGGCGGGACCCGGGAAGGCGCUGCGGCGCCGCCGGGGGAUGAGUCUGCGUCCCAUUAGCUAGACGGCGGGGUAACGGCCCACCGUGGCGACGAUGGGUAGCCGGCCUGAGAGGGUGGACGGCCACAUUGGAACUGAGACACGGUCCAGACUCCUACGGGAGGCAGCAGCUAAGAAUCUUCCGCAAUGGGCGAAAGCCUGACGGAGCGACGCCCGCGUGAACGAAGAAGGCCGUGAGGUUGUAAAGUUCUUUUCGGGAGGGGGAACAACCGUGGCAGGGAAUGGCCGCGGGAUGACGUGAAUCCCGGAAUAAGCCCCGGCUAACUACGUGCCAGCAGCCGC
rnacentral:rRNA from 1 species